rnacentral:misc_RNA from 1 species
GAUGAAGAACGCAGCAAAAUGCGAUAAGUAAUGUGAAUUGCAGAAUUCAGUGAAUCAUCGAAUCUUUGAACGCACAUUGCGCCCCUUGGUAUUCCAUGGGGCAUGCCUGUUCGAGCGUCAUUUGUACCCUCAAGCACUGCUUGGUGUUGGGUGUUUGUCCCGCUUUGCGCGUGGACUCGCCUUAAAGCAAUUGGCAGCCGGCAGAUUGGCCUGGAUCGCGAGCACAUUUUGCGACCUUGUCAUAACUGUUUGGCACCCAUCAAGACUAUUUUUUGCUCUUGACCUCGGAUCAGGUAGGGAUACCCGCUGAACUUAAGCAUAUCAAUAAGCGGAGGA